UGCCAGCAGCCGCGGUUAUACGGAGGGUGCAAGCAUUAAUCGGAUUUAUUGGGCGUAAAGAACGCGUAGGCGGGAAGAUUAGUCAGAUGUGAAAUCCCGGGGCUCAACCCCGGAAUUGCAUUUGAAACUGUCUUUCUUGAGGAUAGAAGGCGAAAACAGAAUUCCAUGUGUAGCGGUGAAAUGCGUAGAUAUAUGGAGGAAUACCCGUGGCGAAGGCGGUUUUCGAUUUUAUUCCUGACGCUGAGGCGUGAAAGCAAGGGGAGCAAACAGGAUUAGAUA
rnacentral:rRNA from 1 species